AAUCAACGCUGGCGGCGCGCUUAACACAUGCAAGUCGCACGAGAAAGGGAGCAAUCCCAAGUACAGUGGCGCACGGGUGAGUAACACGUGGAUCAUCUACCUUUUAGUGGGGAAUACCUCCGGGAAACUGGAGACAAUACCGCAUAAGCUCGUAAGAGGAAAGCAGCAAUGCGCUGAAAGAGGAGUCCGCGGCCGAUUAUGCUAGAUGGCGGGGUAAUGGCCCACCAUGGCGAAGAUCGGUAGCCGGCCUGAGAGGGCACACGGCCACAC
rnacentral:rRNA from 1 species